UCUUAGCUUGCUAAGGCCGAUGGCGACCGGCGCACGGGUGAGUAACACGUAUCCCCCCUUCCGUCUACUCUUGGACAGCCUUCUGAAAGGAAGAUUAACUACAAGAUGGCAUCAUGAGUCCGCAUGUUCACAUGAUUAAAGGUAUUCCGGUAGACGAUGGGGAUGCGUUCCAUUAGAUAGUAGGCGGGGUAACGGCCCACCUAGUCUUCGAUGGAUAGGGGUUCUGAGAGGAAGGUCCCCCACAUUGGAACUGAGACACGGUCCAAACUCCUACGGGAGGCAGCAGUGAGGAAUAUUGGUCAAUGGGCGAGAGCCUGAACCAGCCAAGUAGCGUGAAGGAUGACUGCCCUAUGGGUUGUAAACUUCUUUUAUAAAGGAAUAAAGUCGGGUAUGCAUACCCGUUUGCAUGUACUUUAUGAAUAAGGAUCGGCUAACUCCGUGCCAGCAGCCGCGGUAAUACGGAGGAUCCGAGCGUUAUCCGGAUUUAUUGGGUUUAAAGGGAGCGUAGAUGGAUGUUUAAGUCAGUUGUGAAAGUUUGCGGCUCAACCGUAAAAUUGCAGUUGAUACUGGAUAUCUUGAGUGCAGUUGAGGCAGGCGGAAUUCGUGGUGUAGCGGUGAAAUGCUUAGAUAUCACGAAGAACUCCGAUUG
rnacentral:rRNA from 1 species